UACGAAGGGGGCUAGCGUUGCUCGGAAUGACUGGGCGUAAAGGGCGCGUAGGCGGACGGCUUUGUCGGGCGUGAAAUUCCAGGGCUUAACCUUGGGGCUGCGUUCGAGACGGGUUGUCUAGAGUUUGGAAGAGGGUCGUGGAAUUCCCAGUGUAGAGGUGAAAUUCGUAGAUAUUGGGAAGAACACCGGUGGCGAAGGCGGCGACCUGGUCCUUGACUGACGCUGAUGCGCGAAAGCGUGGGGAGCGAUCCGG
rnacentral:rRNA from 1 species